AGAGUUUGAUCCUGGCUCAGGAUGAACGCCGGCGGUGUGCCUAAUACAUGCAAGUCGAGCGCACUGGCCCAACAGAAAUGACGUGCUUGCACUGAUUUGACGUUGGAUUCCCAGUGAGCGGCGGACGGGUGAGUAACACGUGGGCAACCUGCCCCAAAGCGGGGGAUAACAUUUGGAAACAGGUGCUAAUACCGCAUAACUUGGAAAACCACAUGGUUUUCCAAUAAAAGAUGGUUUCGGCUAUCACUUUGGGAUGGGCCCGCGGUGCAUUAGCUAGUUGGUAAGGUAACGGCUUACCAAGGCGAUGAUGCAUAGCCGAGUUGAGAGACUGAUCGGCCACAAUGGAACUGAGACACGGUCCAUACUCCUACGGGAGGCAGCAGUAGGGAAUCUUCCACAAUGGGCGCAAGCCUGAUGGAGCAACACCGCGUGAGUGAAGAAGGGUUUCGGCUCGUAAAACUCUGUUGUUGGAGAAGAACGUGCGUAAGAGUAACUGUUUACGCAGUGACGGUAUCCAACCAGAAAGUCACGGCUAACUACGUGCCAGCAGCCGCGGUAAUACGUAGGUGGCAAGCGUUAUCCGGAUUUAUUGGGCGUAAAGCGAGCGCAGGCGGUUGCUUAGGUCUGAUGUGAAAGCCUUCGGCUUAACCGAAGAAGUGCAUCGGAAACCGGGCGACUUGAGUGCAGAAGAGGACAGUGGAACUCCAUGUGUAGCGGUGGAAUGCGUAGAUAUAUGGAAGAACACCAGUGGCGAAGGCGGCUGUCUGGUCUGCAACUGACGCUGAGGCUCGAAAGCAUGGGUAGCGAACAGGAUUAGAUACCCUGGUAGUCCAUGCCGUAAACGAUGAAUGCU
rnacentral:rRNA from 1 species